rnacentral:rRNA from 1 species
GACGAACGCUGGCGGCGUGCUUAACACAUGCAAGUCGAACGGAAAGGCCCUGCUUUUGUGGGGUGCUCGAGUGGCGAACGGGUGAGUAACACGUGAGUAACCUGCCCUUGACUUUGGGAUAACUUCAGGAAACUGGGGCUAAUACCGGAUAGGAGCUCCUGCUGCAUGGUGGGGGUUGGAAAGUUUCGGCGGUUGGGGAUGGACUCGCGGCUUAUCAGCUUGUUGGUGGGGUAGUGGCUUACCAAGGCUUUGACGGGUAGCCGGCCUGAGAGGGUGACCGGCGACAUGGGGACUGAGGGAGGGCCCAGUGGCGAACGGGGGGCAGCGGGGGGAAAUAUGGCACAGUGGGCGGAAGCGUGAUACGAAGGCGCCGCGGGCGGAAUGACGGCUUUCGGGUUAAAAACCGCUUUCGCCUGAGACGAAGCGGGAGUGACGGUAAUGGAUAAAGAAGCACCGGCUAACUACGUG